CAAGACAACUUUACGGAGUUGACGAUUGACGGAGCGAAGCGACGUCAAAGCGUUCAUUAAAGUCGAGUUGGCUUAGGGAUACGUUCGUUGGGUAGGGGAGCGUUCUGUAAGCCUGUGAAGGUGUGUCGUGAGGCAUGCUGGAGGUAUCAGAAGUGCGAAUGCUGACAUAAGUAACGAUAAAGCGGGUGAAAAGCCCGCUCGCCGGAAGACCAAGGGUUCCUGUCCAACGUUAAUCGGGGCAGGGUGAGUCGACCCCUAAGGCGAGGCCGAAAGGCGUAGUCGAUGGGAAACGGGUUAAUAUUCCCGUACUUGGUGUUACUGCGAAGGGGGGACGGAGAAGGCUAUGUUGGCCGGGCGACGGUUGUCCCGGUUUAAGCGUGUAGGUGUGUGUUCCAGGUAAAUCCGGUUCACUUUAACACUGAGGCGUGACGACGAGGCACUACGGUGCUGAAGCAACAAAUGCCCUGCUUCCAGGAAAAGCCUCUAAGCAUCAGGUAACACGAAAUCGUACCCCAAACCGACACAGGUGGUCAGGUAGAGAAUACCAAGGCGCUUGAGAGAACUCGGGUGAAGGAACUAGGCAAAAUGGUGCCGUAACUUCGGGAGAAGGCACGCUGACACGUAGGUGAA
rnacentral:rRNA from 1 species